GGCGGCGACGCCUGGGGCCUAAUUGUCUAACGCAAACGAUUGAAUUUGACAGUUGAAAUCGUACGUUUUUACUUGUCAAACGGCUAUUUCGGAUUGUGUAAGCCAAUGGAAAGCCAUCGGUUGGGCAUAGUUAGUUCAUUACGAUUAGAUCGUUAUUUUUAUACGAAGAGUGAAUGAUUUUAUAUGAUUUGACAGUUAUUUGCGAUUGUCUUCGAAUUGUUUAAAGUUUUAUGUUCAUGGCUUAUGUCAAAAACUUACGAUGGGUCUUGAGUCACCUUUGAUCGUAAAACGGACAAAUUGUGGAUGUCCAAAAUUCCAAAAUAAUUAUUUAUAUUUUAUUAAAUAUCUAAAAUUAAUAUUUUUUUCCAUUCUAAAUCUCUCAAUUCAGUCUCCACGUCCACAGUUAGCAUUUUUAGUACGAAACUUUGCGAAGUGUUUAGUUUAGCUUUGUUUGUAAACAAUGAACUCUCUUAGAAAGAGUAAUAAAUAAUAUAUUCUUUGCAAUGAACCUUUAAAGUCAAAACAAUGAAGUUAAUUGAGUGCUAUUAAUCGAUUUAUAUAGGAUGCUGAGACUUGGACUCUGAGAGAAAGAGAUUUGGAAUGCCCUAUAACUGCAGACUCCAAUAUUGCAAAAAGCACCUGCAAUACAGUGGAAUAACAUAUUGGUGUGCUGAAGAAAAGAUGGCAAAGGCUUUUAGCUGAUAGGACAUUGUACUGAUGACCCUGUUAUCUGGUCAAAUCAUAAAUGUGUGUGUAUUAUCAAAAUAUUUACAUAGAUUGUGAAAUGCUGAUGAUAUUUUAUUUGGUGUGAAAUGCUGAUGAUAUUUAAAAAUAAAAGAAUAUUUACUUUG